ACCUUCGGCGGCGCCCAGGUGAGCAGCGCUCUGGCCGCAAGUGGGUCGCGGAGCCCUCGGCCGGGCUGUCGGGUCCCGCGCGCGGCCUGGACCCGAAGAGGGGGCGCAAGUCCUGGUGCCCCGGAGAGAAGCGCAGGGCUUUCCUCACGCAGUGUCCCCCACUGUCUCACGCCGCGCCCCCUCCCCACACCCGACGCGCCCUACUAGGAGACCCAGCCGCGUCGGGUCGCUGCUCCCCGCCCGCUCCUGGCGCCACGCCGCCGCCCAGGGGCUGAAAGCUAACCUUGGGCAAAAGACCGGCCCACCAGCCCGGGCUGUACUGGGCAUUCUUUUUGAGCCCAAGAGUUGCGUCCGAGUUGCUUCUGUGGCGAUAAAUCCUCUUAGGAUUUAUUUUGCUUAUUUGUAAUUUGCUGCACCCUCCCCUGCUUUCCAAGCCCACUCUGGCACCUCAGACAGUAAAAUGACCACGAAAUUAGGCAGAGAGGUUUCAACACCAGACCCACUACCACCCCUAGACCAACAAACACUCCAGAUUUAAAGUUGAUCACUCCUUAGCGACAGACCAGGAUGGCAAGUUCUGUGACAUAAUCAGAAACAUUUAUUGGUAGGUCUGGCUUUGCCUUGGACAGAACAAGCCUCCUCCUCUAGAUGCUCAAAUUUCCAAACCGGACCCACAUGGUGCAGAAACAAUACCUCGUCCUUCAAGAUGUCACCGCUCCUGCUGAUUCCCUCAGCUCCCCCCCACUCCUUGCCCCGGCCACGUAGAGGUGUGUUAAGGUCAGCCCAAGCAUCGGGGACCACUCUGCUGUUCUGGUCCCAGGGAUUUAUUUUUGUUUGCCCCCACCCCCCACAAGUUCUUAUUUUGAUAUCUAUAGACACAAUGAGUUUUAUGUAUGAGCUACUGCGUUGAACUUUUCAAACAUGAUUUUCAACAUCUAGUUUAAACACUUGGAAUAGAUUGUCAGCUAACAUUUUGGGGUUCCUUAAGUCACCUGUGUGCACUAAACAGCUUGUGUGACUUCCUAGCAAAGGGACUGUCC
rnacentral:lncRNA from 1 species